UCCAGUAUAGCUCAGUGGUAGAGCAUUUUGACUGCAGAUCAAGAGGUCCUUGGUUCAAAUCCGAGUUACAUUGGUGGCA